rnacentral:rRNA from 1 species
CAACUCGCCUGCAUGAAGUCGGAAUUGCUAGUAAUCGCGGAUCAGCAUGCCGCGGUGAAUACGUUCCCGGGCCUUGUACACACCGCCCGUCACACCAUGGGAGCCGGUAAUACCCGAAGUCAGUAGUCUAACCGCAAGGAGGACGCUGCCGAAGGUAGGAUUGGCGACUGGGGUGAAGUCGUAACAAGGUAGC